UAAUGGACCAGCCCCGAGGAGCAUGCUAAGAAGUGUGGUCAUCUUGAACCUUGAAAUCAAUGUAACGAAGAGGUCCAGGAAGUUAGUGAACAAACGAUAAAACAGUGGUCAACGUGGGAUAAUCCACACCACCAGCUAGUGUAAAACUAUUUGGAGCAUCAUCAUCCCCAUCAUCAUCAUCUGAAGAAGAAGAAUGUAUAUAUGAUGCUCUCCAGUCCGACGAUCUAGGUCUAGAACCUCAAUAACCGCAAGUGAAUAACUACCUGGUCCAUCCUUUCCAAUUUGUGGUAAUUGUUCAAACCUUUUUAUCUAUCUAAACGUUCCUCGAUAUAAAGAGCAAAGCAUAAUGUUAUAUACAUGUCUAUGUCGGAUCUCUUUGACUUGUCAGGUGUUUUGUCAAUGUUGCACAAUCUCCUACGGAUUUCUAUAAAGUCAGUAAAUUGUUGUCGUCUGGCUAUUGUAGCUAAGGAACUAAAUACUUUUGUCUUGGCAUGCUCGGCCAAUUAUAUUGAACACCGUGAGGACCAUUGACCUGCCUAGUCAUGGUCAUUCUCAUAUCCAAAUCAAAUCAAAUUUGAUUGCUCACAUACACAUAUUUAACAGAUGUUAUUGCGGGUGUAGCGAAAUGCUUGUCCAGCCUGUAUCUGUAGUCUUAACCCGUCUGUGUGUAUGUGUGUGUGCGCACGUGCAUGAGGCUGAAUGUCUAGCAAUUGCUCAUGCUGACUCUUGCCGUUUCUCUAUCUAGCAGAUUUUCUUAGAACACUAUGGUUAGGUGACCUCAGAUCACCCUCACUUCAUUCCCCUCUCUGGCCGUCACCUGACUGGUGGUUGCAAUGGCUUUGCAAAAUGGAUACUCCAUCGACUCCUCCCCACUCGACGAGAGUGGAGAUACUACACCCCUACUUAAAAAAGAAGUGGUGGAUGUUGAUGAUUCAGGUGUCUUAACUUGUUUUGGUUGCUCUUUUGCGUGGUCAGCACUCAGCAGCAUGAAUGUGCUAGUCGUGCUUCAUUAUGUUACUUCAUUAUGUAAUGCUAACCUUCUGAUUGUUGAAUGAAGUCAUAUCAAGUGUUUUGUCAGUAUGGGGCAUUGAUGUCAGUGGGGACUAAGUGAAUAUUUGACCUACGUGGAAGAUCGGAUUCGCCCCUAUGAUUUUGCUUAUUACAUCAUAACUAACAGUGUGCUAGUGAAUUAUGUCAUUUAAGUGUCAUGUACUCCUCGUUAGCUAGAGUAGAUUUACUACUAGCACUGUCUAAGUCAUCUUGAAGUGUCAUCUUCAGUCAUCUUUUAAGUGUUUUCAGAUAGACGGUGAGGUGUGAUUGGGCACAUGUUGUCGUCGUGUCUAACAGUACCUCCACAAUGUUGCUCUGCACGCUGCAAUCUGGCCAUCAUGAUGUUCUUUGGAUUCUCCGUCGUCUACGGUCUCCGUGUCAAUCUAAGUGUUGCCAUGGUCGCCAUGGUCAAUGGGACCAAAAGCCAACCAUCUCUCAACAGCUCAGGUGGCCAUGAGUGCCCAGUUUCCUCCCACGGCAAUGGCAGCCAAACCCCAGACCAACCAGAUGGGGGGGUGCUGGUUGCAUUUGGGCAGUGUUCUGGUUCAUUCUGGUGUCGGACCAGCCUGGCACUCAUCCACGAAUCAGCACAAGAGAAAAAGAUUACAUCAUCAACUCCAUAGGAAAAGGGGGUGGUGCCCAUGGCUGGUCAGUGCCUUUGUUGCCCAUGAUGCUCUCUGUUCCCCUGUGGGCCAUCAUAGUGUCUCAGAUGUGUGCCAACUGGGGUAACUGCAUUCUGCUCACAUCACUACCCACCUACAUGGACACGGUGCUUCACUUUGACCUCCGACAGAAUGCCUUUCUCUCAGCUCUGCCCUAUCUGGGUGGCUGGGCCUUCUCAGUGAUAUCAGGUGUAGUAGCAGACAGCCUCCUGGAGAAGGAGCUGUUGAGUGUCACAGCGGUCCGCAAGAUCUUCACUAUCACAGGCAAGGAGGGGACUUUUAUUUUGAAAGGAACUGGUCUCGGUUACUUAUGGACUUUACCAGAUGUUUGAUUGAUUGACUGGUUAAACAUGCAACAGUUCUUUCGGGAUUCUUUGGAUGCUAUUUCAUGCAGCGGAUAUUUUAGUCUGUAGUAAUAUGUUUUGUAACAAAAUAUGAACUAAUUGAGUAUUACAUUUGAGUUAUUUAGAAGACGCUCUUAUCCAGACCGACUUACAGUUAGACUAUCACGUAAACUGUGUACUAUGUUAAUUGUGUGGAUGGCCAUACCUAUGUGUUUCUGUUAAAUGCAGCGUUUGUACAUUGACCGUGUAUAUUGACGUCACAGGAGGCUACCGAGGGGAGAACGGCUCAUAAUAAUGGCCAGAACCGAACAAAUGGAAUGGCAUCAAACACCUGGAAACCAUGUAGUAUUUGAGCUCGUUCUACUAAUUGCCAUAAGCCCGUUCUCCCCAAUUAAGGACACAUCAACCUCCUGUGAUUGAUGCAUAUUGUUGACCCCUCCUCCCCCAGGUCUGCUGCUGCCUGCAGCGUUCCUGGUUGCUGUGGGCUACUCCGGCUGCAGUGGUGUGUUGGCAGUGACCUUCCUCACCCUCUCUUCAACUGCAGGAGGCACCAGUGCAGCCGGGGUCUUCAUCAAUCAGAUAGACAUUGCUCCACGGUAUGCGGGAGUGCUUUUUGGAAUCACCAACACUUUCGGGACUAUCCCAGGUGUGGUCGCUCCAAUCAUCACGGGUUACCUCACCAAAGAUCAAUCCCUGGCGGGAUGGAGGAGUGUGUUCUGUCUGUCGGCCGGGAUCAGUGCCGUAGAAGCUUUCAUCUUCACCUUGUUUGGGUCCGGGGAGGUCCAGAAAUGGGCCCUGGUAGAGGUGGAUCAGGAGCAGGCAGAAACAAAGAGAGACAGGUUCAUCCCUAUACAUGACAGAUAAGACCUAAAGCAGGGUUCCCCAACUGAUGGCCCACGGUGGUUUUAUUUUGCCCCCCAUGUUUUCUGAGCAAAAAAAUGUAUAAAACAAUAUUAUUCUUUAUUUUAAAAAUUUUCAUUGUUGGUCAUAAAAACACCAGGAAAUCAGCUCCGUGUCAUUUUAAUUUGGGAAUUCUGUUCCCAAGUAUUUCUGCACAUAAUAGAGAGGCAAGUGAUCAUAUACAAAUGUAAGCUUCGUUGGAAAUUAUGUUUAAGUCUGUUUGGGCUUCUUGCGGUCAAUUUGCAGUCGACAAAUGAUUUAAAAUGAUGUUCCGGCCCCCUGACCAUCCACUCAAUAAAAGACAAUGUCCCUACGCUGAA